GACGAACGCUGGCGGCGUGCUUAACACAUGCAAGUCGAACGAUGAAGAAGAGACACGCGAACUUCGGUUCCAAUUUCACUUCGGAUUAGUGGCAGACGGGUGAGUAACGCGUGAGCAACCUACCUCUUACAAAGGGAUAGCCUCGGGAAACCGUGAUUAAUACCAUAUGACACAUUCAUAAGGCAUCUUAAGAAUGUUAAAGCUACGGCGGUAAGAGAUGGGCUCGCGUCCCAUUAGCUAGUUGGUGAGGUAACGGCCCACCAAGGCGACGAUGGGUAACCGGCCUGAGAGGGUGAACGGUCACAUUGGGACUGAGACACGGUCCAAACUCCUACGGGAGGCAGCAGUGGGGAAUAUUGCACAAUGGAGGGAACUCUGAUGCAGCGACGCCGCGUGAGCGAUGAAGGAAUUCGUUUCGUAAAGCUCUGUUCUAUGGGAAGAAAAGGACUGUACCAUAGGAGAAAGCCCCGGCUAAAUACGUG
rnacentral:rRNA from 1 species